ACUGCAGCCCGACCUGAGUGGAGCUCUUUUUGUGAGGCGCAAAGCCGAACAAAAAAGCAGGAACGGAGGGCGGAAAAAGCU
rnacentral:misc_RNA from 1 species